GUAAACAUGGGAACAGGAGAGCUCAAGGAGGAAGAGAGACAGAGGGAGAGGGUACUGGGAUAGAUACCUAGAAUUGGGGAGCAGUUGAUGGGAGGUGAUAUGAAAACCUACUGCAGUGGAAACACUGGAAGCUUUGGGAUGACUCUAGAGCAUACGUCUAGUAAUGGGGAAUACAGAGCCUAAAUUGGCCAUUUUCUGUUACCAGGCAAUUCUUCCAGUGAAGGAACUGGGACAUCAAGCCAGCCACAAAACCUCUAAUCUACAUCCUGUCCUACUGGCAAGAUUGCUGCCUACUGAAUUGUCAUCAAAGAGCCUUCAUCCAGCAACUCAUGGAAACAGAUACAUACACCCACAGUGAAAUAUUAGAGGGAGCUUGGGGAACCCCUACACAAGAUAGAAAGGAAGAACUAUAGUUAUCAGAGUGCUGAGGAGACCACAGAAUCAACCAAGGAUAUCUCGGGGCAUUCACAGAGUCUGAUGUGGCAAUCAUGAAACCUGUGUGAACUUUUGAUACAUGUUAUGGUUUUUGUAGCUUGGUGUUCUUGGCAGACACCUAAAAGUGGGAAUGGGAGUGUCUCUUACUCUUUUUGUGCUCUUCAAAGAAAGGAAGAUGAAAGGAAGAAGAAAGGAAGAAGAAAGGAAGAAAUUAAGGAAAGUGGAAAGAAAGAAAGAAAGAAAGAAAGAAAGAGAGAGAGAGAGAAAGAAAGAAAGAAAGAAAGAAAGAAAGAAAGGAAGGAAGAAAGAAAGAAAGAAUGGAGGGAGGGAGGGAAGGAAAGAAGGAAAGAAAAGGAAGAAAGAAAGGAAGAGAAAGCAAGGAAGAGAGAGGAAGAGAAAGGGAAAAAGGAAGGAAGGAAAGAAGGAAAGAAAGAAAGAAACAAAGAAAGAAACAAAGAAAGAAAGAAAGAAAGAAGGAAGGCUGCUUCCCAAUAAAAAGUAACUAUACAUUCUAACACUGUAAACCUUAUAAUUUUUACAUUUUGUUUCCUUCUGUAGGCAAGUCUAAUAUGUUUUAUUCAUUAGAAGAAAUAAAUAGCGGGAUGAAAUCUCUGGGUAGAAGAUUGCGUAGGUUGUUUUACACCAUCAUUCUGGUUAAAUAAAUUCAUACAAAAAUAAAUGAA